rnacentral:rRNA from 1 species
UACGGAAGGUCCGGGCGUUAUCCGGAUUUAUUGGGUUAAAGGGAGCGUAGGCUGGAGAUUAAGUGUGUUGUGAAAUGUAGACGCUCAACGUCUGACUUGCAGCGCAUACUGGUUUCCUUGAGUACGCACAACGUUGGCGGAAUUCGUCGUGUAGCGGUGAAAUGCUUAGAUAUGACGAAGAACUCCGAUUGUGAAGGCAGCUGACGGGAGCACAACUGACGUUGAAGCUCGAAGGUGCGGGUAUCGAACA